rnacentral:rRNA from 1 species
CCUACGGGUGGCAGCAGUGAGGAAUAUUGGGCAAUGGACGAGAGUCUGAACCAGCCAAGUAGCGUGAAGGAUGACUGCCCUAUGGGUUGUAAACUUCUUUUAUAAAGGAAUAAAACGAGGCACGUGUGCCUUUUUGCAUGUACUUUAUGAAUAAGGAUCGGCUAACUCCGUGCCAGCAGCCGCGGUAAUACGGAGGAUCCGAGCGUUAUCCGGAUUUAUUGGGUUUAAAGGGAGCGUAGAUGGGUUGUUAAGUCAGUUGUGAAAGUUUGCGGCUCAACCGUAAAAUUGCAAUUGAUACUGGCAGUCGUGAGUACAGUUGAGGUAGGCGGAAUUCGUGGUGUAGCGGUGAAAUGCUUAGAUAUCACGAAGAACCCCGAUUGCGAAGGCAGCUUACUAAACUGUGACUGACAUUGAUGCUCGAAAGUGUGGGUAUCAAACAGGAUUAGAUACCCGAGUAGUC